rnacentral:rRNA from 1 species
AUUGAACGCUGGCGGCAGGCCUAACACAUGCAAGUCGAGCGGAUGAAGGGAGCUUGCUCCUGGAUUCAGCGGCGGACGGGUGAGUAAUGCCUAGGAAUCUGCCUGGUAGUGGGGGAUAACGUCCGGAAACGGGCGCUAAUACCGCAUACGUCCUGAGGGAGAAAGUGGGGGAUCUUCGGACCUCACGCUAUCAGAUGAGCCUAGGUCGGAUUAGCUAGUUGGUGGGGUAAAGGCCUACCAAGGCGACGAUCCGUAACUGGUCUGAGAGGAUGAUCAGUCACACUGGAACUGAGACACGGUCCAGACUCCUACGGGAGGCAGCAGUGGGGAAUAUUGGACAAUGGGCGAAAGCCUGAUCCAGCCAUGCCGCGUGUGUGAAGAAGGUCCUCGGAUUGUAAAGCACUUUAAGUUGGGAGGAGGGGCAGUAAGUUAAUACCUUGCUGUUUUGACGUUACCAACAGAAUAAGCACCGGCUAACUUCGUG